GGCUGGUCCCAAGAUGGUGACUUACCUCGAUUGAUUGUUCACAGUUACAAAUCAAACUCCUUGUUCUACUCUUUCCCUUCUCACUACUGCACUUGACUUGUCUUUA
rnacentral:Y_RNA from 1 species